rfam:Hymenolepis microstoma genomic scaffold, pathogens_HYM_contig_0912
AGUGGCAUAGUACAGAAAACCUUAGAUAAUCCACGAGCACCGCUGAACUAGGCACAUCAAUUAUUAUAGUGAACUUCAUUUGAGUAGGUUGAAGCCAAAGGAAACUCUGCCACAGGACUGUAGUGAUUCUAAAGUUCAAGUCGAUAGACUAGUAAAUGAGCGAAAGACUAAUCGAACCAUCUAGUAGCUGGUUCUCUCCGAUGUUUCCCUCAGGAUAGCUGGCACUCACUGGAAUAAUCAUUAUUAUCCGGUAAAGCGAAAGAAUAGAUGUACUGUGCUUGAAAUUGACUCAAUCUAUUCUUAAACUUAAAAUUGAUGAGACACUUGGAUCGCCGAGUGUGUGGGUAUUUACUUCUCGCAAUCGGACGUUGAAUGUGCGAGUGUCAAGAGGGCUAUUUUUGGUAAGCGAAGCUGCCACUGGGGUGCACGAUUAAGGUGCCUAACACUGAGGCUCGUGAGGGUGUUGGUUAACAUAAACAGUAGUGCGAUGGUCAUGGAAGUCGGUACCCACUAAAGAGUACGGAUUGACUAGCCCUGAAAGUGGAUGGCGCUAGUACGUAGGGGCUACACCACGCCAUCAUCUCAAUCUGAAACAAUGAGUUCAAUAAAAAAUCUCAUGAAAUGUAAUAAUAAUGGACUCAGUAAAUGCAUUUUUGAAUAUUAAAU